ACCGGAUUGUCCCCACGAGCCCGCAUGGGUUUGUGAGGAAAGGAUUACCGCUUCGGGAGGGGCUCGCGGCCUAUCAGCUUGUUGGUGGGGUAAUGGCCCACCAAGGCGACGACGGGUAGCUGGUCUGAGAGGACGAUCAGCCACACUGGGACUGAGACACGGCCCAGACUCCUACGGGAGGCAGCAGUAGGGAAUCUUGCGCAAUGGGCGAAAGCCUGACGCAGCAACGCCGCGUGGGGGAUGAAGGCCUUCGGGUUGUAAACUCCUUUCAGUGGGAACGAAACUGACGGUACCCACAGAAGAAGCCCCGGCCAACUACGUG
rnacentral:rRNA from 1 species